UAGGGAAUCUUCGGCAAUGGACGAAAGUCUGACCGAGCAACGCCUCGUGAGUGAAGAAUGUUUUCGGAUCGUAAAACUCUGUCGUUAGAGAAGAACAAGGACGUUAGUAAUUGAACGUCUCCUGACGGUCUCUAACCAGAAAGCCACGGCUAACUACGUGCCAGCAGCCGCGGUAAUACGUAGGUGGCAAGCGUUAAUCGGAAUUACUGGGCGUAAAGCGCACGCAGGCGGUUGAUUGAGUCAGAUGUGAAAUCCCCGGGCUUAACCCGAGAAUUGCAUCUAAUACGGGUCAGCUAGAGUCUUGUAGAGGAGGGUAGAAUUCCAUGUGUAGCGGUGAAAUGCGUAGAGAUGUGGAGGAGGACCGGUGGCGGAGGCGGCCCCCUGGACAAAGACUGACGCUCAGGUGCGAAAGCGUGGGGAGCAAACAGG
rnacentral:rRNA from 1 species